rnacentral:lncRNA from 1 species
CCCACAGUUGCAGCCCGCUCAUGAAGUUGUGCAACUUGUCUUCUUCCGACAUGUUACUGAUGCUAAGCAUCAACGAUGUGAACUCUUUCACAUAUGCUCUAACUGAUCCGUUGUGUUUCAACCUUUUCAGUUUGUCCCUAGCAAUCCAAGAUGUAUUACUAGGAAGAAAUUGAUCCUUCAAUUCCUUUUUAAGCCGCUCCCACGACUCAAUCUUUGAUCUACCAAGACUUUCAUCUUCAGCCACACGAGUGCGCCACCAUAGCUUAGCAUCAUCACUCAAAUACAUGCUAAUCAAGGUUACUUUCUCUUUCUCGUCUUGCACACGAAUAGCAUGAAAGUACUGCUCCAUAUCCCAAAGAAAAUUCUCCAAUUCACGUGCACUCCUUGCACCUCCGAAUGCCUUAGGUUC